UCUUCCGCAAUGGGCGAAAGCCUGACGGAGCAACGCCGCGUGAGUGAUGAAGGUCUUCGGAUCGUAAAGCUCUGUUAUUAGGGAAGAACAAGUGCGUAAGUAACUGUGCGCACCUUGACGGUACCUAAUCAGAAAGCAACGGCUAACUACGUGCCAGCAGCCGCGGUAAGAAGUAGGUGGAAAGCGUUAUCCGGAAUUAUUUGGGGUAAAGCGCGCGUAGGCGGUUUCUUAAGUCUGAUGUGAAAGCCCACGGCUCAACCGUGGAGGGUCAUUGGAAACUGGGAGACUUGAGUGCAGAAGAGGAAAGUGAAAUUCCAUGUGUAGCGGUGAAAUGCGCAGAGAUAUGGAGGAACACCAGUGGCGAAGGCGACUUUCUGGUCUGUAACUGACGCUGAUGUGCGAAAGCGUGGGGAUCAAACAG
rnacentral:rRNA from 1 species